rnacentral:rRNA from 1 species
UUGUUCUUUAAAUGAGGACUAGUAUCAAUGGCAUCACGAGGAUCUUACUGUCUCCCCGCUCCAAUCAGUGAAACUGAUCUUCCCGUGAAGAAGCGGGAAUAUACCUAUAAGACGAGAAGACCCCAUGGAGCUUUAAAUCCAACAGCACCUAUUACCCAUAUAUCUUUAUAUUUUUUUAGCAAAUGCUCGUUCGGUUUUAGGUUGGGGUGACCAUGGAGUAAAAAAUAACCUCCACGAAAAAAGGCAUAAAACCCUUAUCAAAGAGCCACAUCUCUAUGAAUUAGUAAACUAAUUUCUGAUGAUCCGAUAUUCGAUCAACGAACCAAGUUACCCUGGGGAUAACAGCGCAAUCCGCC